rnacentral:tRNA from 1 species
GGGCUGUGCUCAGUGGUACAGCAUCUGCUUAGCAUGCAGAAGGUCCCCGGUUCAACUCCCAGGAUCUCCA